rnacentral:ncRNA from 1 species
CAGACUCAAAACUGUAAGACAAUAGUAUUGUUAAAUGAGCGGAGCUGGGUCGCAGCGAAUGACCCCUCCCGACUGUUUAUCAAAAACUUAGGUCCGUGCUAAAGCGAAAGCUGAUGUAUACGGGCUGAUGCCUGGCCAGUGUCAGAAGGUCAAACCCGCCGGCGCAAGCUGGUGGGCCAAGCCCUGAUGAACGCCGGCGAUAACUAUAAUCGUCCUAUGGUAGCGAAAUUCCUAGAAGACUGGGACCAUCAUUUCUGAUAAUAUCAGAAAUGAUGGAAAAUUCCGCUGUAUGCGGGAACAUCUCGUUAGGUUCAGAGUACUUGCCCAGCCCCAGUUUGAAAAACUGGAGCUGGACAGUAAAAAUCUUUGAAAUAGAGACAAUCCGCAGGGAAGAGAAUACCCAAGAAUUGGGUGGCAAACUCCCCUCAACGACUAUACGCGGAAUCCAAUACCAAAAUUGGUGCUGGAAUGAUAUAGUCUGAACUCUAUGGCGACAUAGAGAGCAUGGCAGAAAUGUCCAUGCCUAGUAACAAAAUUGUGUCGUGUAAGUUACGACCCGCACGAAUGGCAUAACGAGCAGGGGACUGUCUUAAGGAUUAACCCGAUGAAUUUACAUUGACGGUAAAGAUGCCGUCUACCCGCAACAAGACGGAAAGACCCUAUGAAGCUUUACUAUAGCGUGUCAUUGAUGCAAGAUUUUUCUUGUUUAGCAUAGGUGGGAGCCUUUGAAGCCUCGGCGCUAGCUGAGGUGGAGGCGACAAGUGAAAUACCACCCUGGAAAGAUUUUGUUUCUAACCUUCGCUUAACCAACGAAGAGACAGUGGCUCGUGGGUAGUUUAACUGGGGCGGUUGCCUUGGCCGUGAUGAAAUUCCGUUACGCUAUAGCAAAUUGCUGUAGAAUCAUCACGCGGGGCGGUCCCGUAGAGAUACGGGACGCAAACUUGGCUAUAUGCUGGGACGUCUGGAGCAUCCGACUGUACUUUGAUAUACUAAGCUUAAGAAAUUAAGCUGACGUGUAACGAGUGAAAAUCAGCUCGGUGCAGACAAUCAGCAGGAAAGUAUUCUUAUGAAAGACGAGAGAAAUUUAGGACAAGAAGAUCAAGAACAUCCCCAUAAUAAAUUAGCUAUAGAAUUAGAAUCAAUAGCCAAGUAUUAUGGAAACCAUCAGGAAAUUUUUGACAGAAUUAUUGAUAGGAUGGAAGAUAAAGAAAGUGUUCUAAGAUUUCUAAAAGAAGCUGCUUCUCGUUUAGAAGCACGAAUGGAAUCGUCUAAACCAAAAGAAUAAUCCUCAACGACUACACGCCAGGUACCCUUUUACACAAAAGGGUAAUGAUAUAGUCUGAACUCUAUGGCGACAUAGAGAAUGCGACAGAAAUGUUCGCAUCAGUAACAAUUCGGAAUUCUGAAUUUAGAAUUUUGAAUCAAAUUCGAAUAUUAAAAUAUUAAAUAUUCAAUCGAAAUUCAAAAUUAGUAAUUCGAAAUUAUUGUUACCUGUAACAUAAUUGCCUAAAUGGUAACGGAGGCGUUUAUAAGGUAAGCUUAGCUCCGAUGGAAACGGAGCUGGACGCGCAAACGCACAAGCUUGCUUGACUGCAAGGCUGGCACGCCGCGCAGAUACGAAAGUAGAAGUUAGUGAUCCGACCAUCCUUCGUGGAAGGGUGGAAGCUCAACGGAUAAAAGUUACUCUAGGGAUAACAGGCUGAUCCUGCCCAAGCGUCCAUAGCGACGGCAGGGUUUGGCACCUCGAUGUCGGCUCAUCACAUCCUGGGGGUGGAGAAGCUCCCAAGGGUUUGGCUGUUCGCCAAUUAAAGUGAUACGCGAGCUGGGUUCAAAACGUCGUAAAAUUUUGCGACCUUGGAUGAGUAAUCAUCAAGCAAAAUUCGGCUAAUAACGGUGGAAUCCUUCAGCAUUUUCCAAACGUGCUUAAGGGCUAUACCGUGGGAAGUCGUCCGCCAGCUGGCGGAUUGACCCCGUAACGACUGAUCCGAAAGGAAAGACUUUGCAGAUUUCUGCAUUGUAAUACGCCGACUCCUGUCCAAAGAUAAAAGACUACGGUUUUAAAAACCUAAGGUCAAUCGACAGGAUGAAGAUAUAGUCUGUGCCACUAGUAAUAGUGGGUUUAACACGGAGACAGUUUGGUCCUUAUCUGUUGUGGGUGUUCGAAACUUGAGUGGGCGCAUCCUUAGUAAAGGAUUGCUACCUCACGAAGUAAUUCGUGAUGAUAAUUCGGCUAAUAACGGUGGAAUCUUAAUGUUUCUGGUUCGUUGAUAGCCAUAAUUGCCAAUGGUCCGGCCUUAUGGUACAGUUUAUCCCGUAUCGAGUACGGGACAUGCUUGAGGACCAGAGAUUUAAUUAAGACAAUACCGUGGGAAGUCGAUCUAAAGUCACAUUAGCUUAUAUUGCUGGCUUUCUUGAUGGAGAUGGUAGCUUGAUGAUGCAGAUUAAGAAGCGCAGGGACGGUAAAAUCGGCCUUCGCUUCAUGUGUACGAUUUGUUUUUAUCAAGACACGCGUCAUGAGAAAGAUUUGUUUUGGAUCCGAAUGAUACUCGGAAUCGGUUAUAUUUCCCGUCGUAAUGACGGAAUGACCGAACUGCGCAUUAAUGGAUUCAAGCAAGUCAGAGAUAUUCUCAAAAUGUUGUUGCCGUUUAUCCGAUUUAAGAAAGUGCAAGCAGAAGCUCUUUAUAAAGCUGCUGAAAUUUUAUGCAGCGUUAAGUUUACUGGUUUAAGCCAGACACAACUUAAAGAGCUCGUAAGCUAUGUAAUGAUGAUUCAGUCGCAUAAUUAUGUUACAAGACAUAAACGAACCGAAUCAGAAUUAUUGUUGGCAUUAGGUUUGACCCCGUAACGACUGACUCGAAAGAGGAGGUCAGCUCCAGUUUUUCAAACUGGGGCUGACAAUACGCCGACUCCUGUCAUAUGACAUAAGAUUAUGGUUAUUUAUAACCUAAGAUCAAACGACAGGAUGAAGAUAUAGUCUGCACCUUCCGCCUACGCUCUUACAUCAAAGAGCUUCGGCGGACACGCCAUAGCUUUGUGCGAAGGCGUGCUAGUGAUAGAGGAAUACGUGACGAGAGGACCAGGAUGCAUGGACCUCUGGUGUACCGGUUGUCCCGUCCGGGGCAUAGCCGGGUAGCUAGGUCCAGUUAAGAUAAACGCUGAAUGCAUAUAAGCGUGAAGCUGUCCACAAAACUAGGUUUCGUUUCCAGCUCCACUUUUGUCGAGUGAUAUUUAUGCGAUAAUUUUAAUUAAUGCGAUUAAUAAAAUUAUUUGCAUAAGUUUCGUUUGUCAAAAGUGGGGCUGGAGUGAGGUUCGGGGAAGACUACCCCGCAAAUAGGCAGCAGGUGUAAGCGUGGCAACACGUUGAGCCGAGCUGUACUAAUCAACCAAAAGUUUAAUUCUC